rnacentral:lncRNA from 1 species
AUGUCUGGUUCUCCAGGUGGUAGGGAGAGAGGCUGCGUCAGAGGCCCACCUUUUGGCCCUGCUCAGCACCAGAGACCGCCUUGGGACACCUGCUUGUCUAACUCACUCCCGCUGCACCACACCCAGAAUAGACUAGCCAUGUCUGCUGCUGGUGACGUGAGAUGUAACUGUCCAUCCAAUCAACCAUCAGUGAAAUGUGUUGACAUUUCUGGAGAAGGUGGAGACAAACGGGUCGAUACAUCUAUCAGGCAGUUUCACCAAUCAGACGUGGACAGAGCGCCUGUCUAUCUCCGGUUGGUCGACAGAGACCGUUUGGCCACAAACGGCUACGGCACCAAGUGGGAUGCGCCGUUUGACCCGGGGACAGCGAGGGUUACCACACCUACACCACAGAAACAGACCAGGAUCUCACAGCCCACUACACAUCGUAGGAGUUCAGUUGUCCCAGCCCACUACACUACUGGGGAAGUUUGGUAG